rnacentral:SRP_RNA from 1 species
GCUGGGCAUGGUGAUGCAUGCCUGUAAUCCCAGCUACUCAGGAGGCUGAGGCAGGAGAAUUGCUUGAACCUGGGAGGCAGAGGUUGCAGUGAGUCGAGAUCAUGCCACUGUACUCCAGCCUGGGUGACAGAGUGAGACUCUGUCUCAA